GGGUCAAUGAAGAGAAGUGAUUUGUUGAAGAUGGAUGACAACAUAAAAAUCAUGCUCAAUAGGAUUACACUGAGGCCC
ensembl:snoRNA SNORD115 Small nucleolar RNA SNORD115